rnacentral:rRNA from 1 species
UACGUAGGGUGCAAGCGUUAAUCGGAAUUACUGGGCGUAAAGCGUGCGCAGGCGGUUUUGUAAGACUGUCGUGAAAUCCCCGGGCUUAACCUGGGAAUGGCGAUGGUGACUGCAAGGCUAGAGUUUGGCAGAGGGGGGUAGAAUUCCACGUGUAGCAGUGAAAUGCGUAGAGAUGUGGAGGAACACCGAUGGCGAAGGCAGCCCCCUGGGUCAAAACUGACGCUCAUGCACGAAAGCGUGGGUAGCAAACAGG